UCUUUCUUACUUACCUUGCCCCUUAUUAAUUUGUUUUCUCCUUCUGGAUUGUUUUACUUUUUUGUUUUCGUUUUUCACAUCUGAAGGGUUGAUUUUUGGAAAUAUGAUAUAAAUCUAAUGGAAAAAGUGUCUACUGGAAAACUGAAGGGUUUUCGUUCUGUUAUUUGCAAUCUGUUAGUUUUGAUUAAAUCUAUUGAGAAAUGUCAAUAAUGGUAAUGAGAAGUGUGUUUUGCAUUGAUGGAGCAGGGCGACCAGUAGCUUGAGAAGUGUCAAUAAUGGUAUUGAGAAGUGUGUUUUGCACUACAUAUAGCACAUUCAGCUGUAUCGACAUCGCUAAUGCACCGUCAUCCUAUCGGUCAUUUCUGUCACGAAAUUCUACAAAUGGGGAAGUUCAAGACAUUGAUUGUUCUGUCUCACUAUUUAGAGGUAUGCAUCAUUUAGUUCAAGACAUUAAUUGUGACUGGAAGGUUAACAAUAUUCUUCUCUUUUCCAAGGAUCCUUUACUUCAAUUCUGGGGCGAAGCAGCAAAAAAUCGUCAUAUAGUUAAAGUUGUUCCUGGUAAUUAUAUAUUCAUGAUAUGUAGAUUUAAUUGUUUUUACUAUCUGGUUAAUUAAGGUAACUUCAAAGCAAAUGUUCAAAAGACAAAGCACUAGUUAUUCUAGUCUUACUGUAUUACUUAGGAAACACUUUGGUGAUUUGUUUUGUAUUAAUAUUGAUCUUUUAUUUUAUAUACAUGUCUGAUUUUCUUGUGUUA